rnacentral:rRNA from 1 species
CGGAUCUCGAAAGCCUGUCCCAGUUCGGACUGGAGUCUGCAACCCGACUCCACGAAGUUGGAUUUGCUAGUAAUCGCGCAUCAGCCAUGGCGCGGUGAAUACGUUCCCGGGCCUUGUACACACCGCCCGUCAAGCCAUGGGAGCCGGGGGCGCCUGAAGUCCGGGACCGCGAGGACCGGCCUAGGGCGAAACUGGUAACUGGGGCUAAGUCGUAACAAGGUAGC